GGUUUUUUGAGUUUAGAUAAAAAAUCAGGCCUGCCCGCUGAUGAAGGGCUGCAGUAUUUUGACUGUACAAAGGUAGCAUAAUCAUUAGUCUUUUAAUUGGGGACUGGUAUGAAAGGUUAGACGGGAAUAAGCUGUCUCAAUUGUAAGAAUAAACUUUAUUUUUAAGGAAAAGAGCUUAAAUUUUUCAAGGGGACGAGAAGACCCUAUUAAAUUUGAUAUAGUAAAUUAUUCUUGGUUGUAUAAAAGAAGUAAAUAUAUAUUAAUUUUGCUGGGGCGGCGUGUUUAUAACUUUAUUAUAAUUUAAUUUAGUAAAUAGCGAAUUUUUGAUCCAAGGAGGUUGAUAUUAGAUAAAAUUACUAUAGGGAUAACAGCGUGAUAUUUUUUGAGAGUUCUUAUUGACAAGAAUGUUUGCGACCUCGAUGUUGGAUUAAGAAGUCUUAUUGGUGCAGUAGUUUUUGAAGAAGGUCUGUUCGACCUUUAAAUUCUU
rnacentral:rRNA from 1 species